AACGGAGGAGCACGAAGGUUAGCUAAUCCUGGUCGGACAUCAGGAGGUUAGUGCAAUGGCAUAAGCUAGCUUGACUGCGAGCGUGACGGCGCGAGCAGGUGCGAAAGCAGGUCAUAGUGAUCCGGUGGUUCUGAAUGGAAGGGCCAUCGCUCAACGGAUAAAAGGUACUCCGGGGAUAACAGGCUGAUACCGCCCAAGAGUUCAUAUCGACGGCGGUGUUUGGCACCUCGAUGUCGGCUCAUCACAUCCUGGGGCUGAAGUAGGUCCCAAGGGUAUGGCUGUUCGCCAUUUAAAGUGGUACGCGAGCUGGGUUUAGAACGUCGUGAGACAGUUCGGUCCCUAUCUGCCGUGGGCGCUGGAGAAUUGAGGGGGGCUGCUCCUAGUACGAGAGGACCGGAGUGGACGCAUCACUGGUGUUCGGGUUGUCAUGCCAAUGGCACUGCCCGGUAGCUAAAUGCGGAAGAGAUAAGUGCUGAAAGCAUCUAAGCACGAAACUUGCCCCGAGAUGAGUUCUCCCUGAGACUUUAAGUCUCCUGAAGGAACGUUGAAGACGA
rnacentral:rRNA from 1 species